UUGGAGGGCAAGUCUGGUGCCAGCAGCCGCGGUAAUUCCAGCUCCAAUAGCGUAUAUUAAAGUUGUUGCAGUUAAAAAGCUCGUAGUUGAAUUUCGGGACUAUCAUGUCGGUCGUGCCUCGGUACGUACUGGCAUUGUUGGUUUCUACCUUCUGACGAACCAUGAUGUCAUUUAUUUGGUGUCGUGGGGAAUCAGGACUGUUACUUUGAAAAAAUUAGAGUGUUCAAAGCAGGCCUAUGCUCGAAUACAUUAGCAUGGAAUAAUAGAAUAGGACGUGUGGUUCUAUUUUGUUGGUUUCUAGGACCGCCGUAAUGAUUAAUAGGGAUAGUCGGGGGCAUCAGUAUUCAAUUGUCAGAGGUGAAAUUCUUGGAUUUAUUGAAGACUAACUACUGCGAAAGCAUUUGCCAAGGAUGUUUUCAUUAAUCAGUGAACGAAAGUUAGGGGAUCGAAGACGAUCAGAUACCGUCGUAGUCUUAACCAUAAACUAUGCCGACUAGGGAUCGGAUGAUGUUAAUUUUUUAACGACUCAUUCGGCGCCUUACGGGAAAC
rnacentral:rRNA from 1 species